UGGGAGGCUGUGAAACCAGGACGCCAGUUCUGGUGGAGCCAUCCUUGAAAUACCACCCUGUCGUGCUUGACGUUCUAACCUGGGCCCGUAAUCCGGGUCGGGGACCGUGUGUGGUGGGUAGUUUGACUGGGGCGGUCUCCUCCCAAAGUGUAACGGAGGAGCACGAAGGUACGCUCAGCGCGGUCGGACAUCGCGCACUGUGUGCAAAGGCAUAAGCGUGCUUGACUGCAAGAUCGACGGAUCAAGCAGGUACGAAAGUAGGUCUUAGUGAUCCGGUGGUUCUGUAUGGAAGGGCCAUCGCUCAACGGAUAAAAGGUACUCCGGGGAUAACAGGCUGAUACCGCCCAAGAGUUCAUAUCGACGGCGGUGUUUGGCACCUCGAUGUCGGCUCAUCACAUCCUGGGGCUGUAGUCGGUCCCAAGGGUAUGGCUGUUCGCCAUUUAAAGUGGUACGCGAGCUGGGUUCAGAACGUCGUGAGACAGUUCGGUCCCUAUCUGCCAUGGGCGUUGGAGAUUUGAGAGGGGCUGCUCCUAGUACGAGAGGACCGGAGUGGACGAACCCCUGGUGUUCCGGUUGUCACGCCAGUGGCACUGCCGGGUAGCUACGUUCGGAAGCGAUAACCGCUGAAAGCAUCUAAGCGGGAAGCGCGCCUCAAGAUGAGAUCUCCCGGGAGCUUGACUCCCCUGAAGGAACCAUCCAGACCAGGUGGUUGAUAGGCUGGGGGUGUAAGUACAGCAAUGUAUUGAGCUAACCAGUACUAAUGAUCCGUGCGGCUUGACCAUAUAACCUCA
rnacentral:rRNA from 1 species